rnacentral:rRNA from 1 species
CAACCCCAGGUCAGGCAAGAGC